ACCCAGAAGAUAUUCAAACAUAUGGCAGAAAUCACAUAUGACAUUUGAACAGAUUUAUUUGCCUGAUCCUGUAUGUAUUUAUCUAUUUUGGGGCAUUUGUACAUGAGAACAUAAAUAUUACUUUAUUGCACCAACCCCAGAGUAUUAGUUACUUAUUGCUGUUUAACAAAUUGCCUCCAACAGUGGCUUGUAUAAAUAAAAAUGCUGCUUCUUUCCAUUUUUGUGGAGCAGGAAUCUAGGUACAGUUGAGCUGAGCUGCAUGAAGCUGCAGGUGAGCAAUCAGCUAGGUCUGGGUUCUCAUCUAAAGACUAGACCUGGAGGGUAGAAGCCACUUCUAAGCUCACACACCUGGUUAUUAUCAGUCUCAGGAAAUCAACUUUCAAUCUUACUCACCUGAGCCUCUGCAUAGGGGCUGACUGACAACAUGGUCGCCAGCUUCCCCAAGGGAACCAGGCAAGAGAUAGGCAGCAAAAGUUGGGGCCACCAAGAUGGAAUCUGCAGUCCUUCAUCACCCAGUCUCAGAACUGACACCAUCGCCUCCACCAGAUUGUCUUCUCUAGAACUUGUGGGAUUUUACUUCCCAACCAAGGAUCAAGUCUGUAUCCCCUGCAAUGGAAGUGUGGAGUCCUAACCGUUGGACUGCCAGCGGGGUCCGGUGGCAUGCGGAACUUCCCUGACCAGGGAUCGAACUGGUGCCCCUGCACUGAAAGCCCAGGCUCUUAACCUCUGAACAGCCAGUGAAGUCCAUUUUCCUUAUCAUCUUUGACAGAAACUGUUUCCAGCCCCAUUUGUGUUCUAUGAAAGCUAAAAAAUUUUUGUAUCUAUUUAUUUAUUUGGUUGUACUGGGUCCCAGUUAUGGCAUGUGGGAUCUAGCUCCCCGACUAGGGAUCGAGCCUGGGCCCCCUAUAUUGGGAGCACGGAGUCCCAGCCACUGGACCACCAGGAAAGUCUCUAAAUUUUUGUUGCUAGUAAAAAUAAUUACUUCACAUAGGCUAAACUAUGGGUGUAAAAAUGUUCGACAACAGCAUGUGAAUUUAUGUACAUGUAAAACGCUAUACGUCUAAAUGUUUAAGAAACAAGGGUCAAAGAGCAGACUUCAAUCAAACGGACUCUUUUGGGACUCUGGUGUGCAAGGCACUAGCUCAUUUUCUCUAUUAGCCUAAGCAGGACUGUAAACACCCAGGAGAAUGAAGGUCACCAAAAUGAAGCAGAACCAGUUUGGCAGUGGGUGUGCGAUCUCACUUCACUAGAUGGACUAGGACGAAAAGAAAUAAAUCAGAAAGAGGGCUCUGAGAUCUUUUUCUUUUUUAAAACAAAUAUUUGUUCAUUUGACUGUGCCGAGUCUUAGCUGGGGCACGCAGGAUCUUCAGUCUUCAUUGUGGCACGUGGGAUCUUUAUCUGUGGCAUGUGAGAUCUAGUUCCCUGACCAGGGAUUGAACCUGGGGACCCUGCAUUGAGAGUGUUGCAUCUCAGUCACUGGACUACCAGGGAAGUCCUGGCUCUGGAAUCUUUAUGGUUUAAGAAAAUAGCUCUUUCUUUUCAGUUCAUUGUUUAAGGAAAAGUGUGUGAACUCCAGCAAUGAUGUGGACUACCUUAAGACAACUGAAUGUCAGUACAUGGGAGAAUCUUCUUUAUCAGAGACUGAGUGAACAAGCAACAUGUUGGUUUAUUUGCGUGAAGCUAUGGGAAGUUGUAUUAGUAGAUACAUUCAAAUGGUCAAGAGUUCAAACACAUGAAUUACAAGUGGGGCCAGAGAAGCCACCUGCUCAGAUGGAGAGCUGAGAUCAUAUGUCAAACCAAGGGAGAGAGUUUUUUCUUUUUCCUCCCCAUUUCUUUAACUAUUAAAGAACUCUUAAAUCUUAUUUUUAUUUUUUGUUGUAGUUGAUUUACAAUGUUGUAUUAAUUUCUGCUGUACAGCCAAGUGAUUCAGUUAUACAUGUAUAGAUAUAUUCUUUUUUAUAUUCUUUUCCAUUAUGGUUUAUCCCAGGAGGUUGGAUAUACAGUAGGACCUUGUUGUUUAUCUGUUCUAAAUGUAAUAGUCUGGGGGCUUCCCUGGUGGGCUAGUGGUUAGGACUCCACGCUUUCACUGCAGAGGGAACAGGUUCAAUCCCUGGUAGGGGAGCUAAGAUCCCUCAUGCUGCCUGCCCCUCAAAGGUAAUAGUCUGCAUCUGCUAACCCCAAACUCCCAGCCCAUCCUUCCCCGCCCCUGCCCUGCCUCCUCCCUGGCAACCACUCGUCUGUUCUCUGCGUCUGUGCAUCUGUUUCUGUUUUGUAGACAGGUUCACUUGCGCCAUGUUUUAGAUUCCACAUGUAAGUGACAUUAUAUGAUAUUUGUCUUUCUGCCUUCCUUUACUUAGUAUGAUCACCUCUAGGUCUCUCCAACUACAAAAGAACUUUCAUUUUCUAUCACAUGCUUUCUCCGUCCUAGUUAGGAUUUAAUGUCUUCUUAGAUGUACAAAAUCCUCUCUUUCCUGGCUCUGUGCAGGCCCAUGCACGUGUGCAAAGAGUAUGAGCGUGUCAAUCAAACUGAAAACCAAUGGCAAGAAAGUCCUAUGUGGCAAGAACUUUUCUGGUGAUUUUUCAAAGUAGCCAUAUUAUCUGCCUCAUUUUAUUCCGUCCGUUAAACGGCAUCUUUUCAAUUUUGCACACUGUGCAAAAUCCUCAGUGUUGCAGAGCCAUUAGAUGGCUCACUCAGACCUCACAGACCUUUCAGAAUUCUAUACAAAGCACAGAGGCUUUACCACAACCCUGGAUUUGAAUUGGAUAGCUCUGACCAUUUUAGAUUCUGCAGCUGUUAUACCAUGGAAUGAAGAUUAAAAAAAAUACCUCAUUUUAGCCAUUAGUUUCAAUCUUAUCUUUUACUUUCAAACCAAACUGGUAAGGCAGCAAAAAGAACUGUUUUACUCUCCCAGUGACCUUGCACCCAAAAGGAAUAAGUUGCAAAUAUGAUAAUAUUUUUUUUUUUUUUUCAAAAAAAGGGGGCAGAGGAAGGAAUUUCCUGGCAGUCCAGUGGUUAGGACUCGGUGUUUUCACUGCUGAGGCCUGGGUUCAAUCCAUGGCUGGGAAACUAAGAUCCUGCAAGCCAAGAGGUGUGGCCAGAAACAAACAAAUAACCACAGAAAACAUACCGGCAGCAUGUUAUUUAAAAUACAUACUAAUAUAUAUGUUUGCCUAUGGAUGGCAUCACUGACUCGAUGGACGUGAGUCUGAGUGAACUCCGGGAGUUGGUGAUGGACAGGGAGGCCUGGUGUGCUGUGAUUCAUGAAGUCGCAACGAGUUGGACACGACUGAGCAACUGAACUGAACUGAACUGAAAAGACAAAAAGGAAAGUAAAACCUGCCCACAGCACAAAGUAAAAGUUGGUCUCAAAAUCAAUGAAAAUAGAUUUUACAGGACUGUGUAAUGAAGCCCCUGUGGCCAGUGUCACAGAUCACAGAGUGGCUGCAUUUUAUGUCUCAUAUAAGGUACCCUGACAACGCUGAGUGGGAGCUUUGGUAUUUUCCUGACUCACAAGGAAGGGAGCGUGCCAUCAGCUGAAUCAUCCUCCUCGCUUCCUGGGGUGCCUGGUUGUUCCAAGACACUAAUGGAGGAUUAAAUUCUGGUUACCAUGACAGCUACGUAAAUGCUGUCAUGAUCUUAUCAACAGAUGUCGUACAGUGCUCCCUGGAAUUUGAAUUUUUUCCCCUGUCAAAAAUUCAAUUUCAACAUAAAUUCUUCAAUAACUAGGCACAGUGGGUCUAAAGAAUUGGUGAUAUCCUUCCUUUUCUUAACUAGCUGUAUUAAGAUACAACUCAUCUUUUACUUAAAAUGUAUUCCUUCUAGUGAAUGGUGUUUGUCUUAUGAUGUUGCUUAUUGUGCUUUUAGAAAUUAAAAUGAAUAGUAUGAAUAGAAAUAAAAAUGAAAAGUAUAAUCAAUUCUCUUAGACUUACAGAAACUCAAAUUUGAGAAAACAAAUCUGAAUACCUAGAGCAUUAGCUGGCAUCUAGUGGCAAUGGGUUGGUUUUAUCUGUAACGGUGCUAAUGUAAACUGUUUUGUGUAAGGACCUGAUGGUGGAGACUGUGUUUUUGGUAGAUGUUCUGUCCCUUUCCUUUCUCCAUUCCAAUGGUUAGAGUCAUCCCUGAGAGGCAGAGUAGCAGCCACAGAGGUUCCUGAAACUCUUAGUUCCUCAGUCGUGUCCGACUCUCUGCAACCCCAUGGACUGUAGCCUACCAGGCUCCUCUGUUCAAAGAAUUCUCCAGGCCUAGUGAAACCUGCAUUUUUAUUUUAAAAACUUUCCUUUGGGGAGGUUUACAGGUGCUUCCCAGGUGGCUCAGUGGUAAAGAACCCGCUUGCCAAUGCAGGAGAUGUGGGUUUGAUCCCUGGGUUGGGAAGAUGCUCUGGAGAAGGAAGUGGCAACCCACUCCAGUAUUCUUGCCUGGGAAAUCCCCUGGACAGAGGAGCCUGGCGGGCUACAGUCCAU
ensembl:lncRNA